AGAAGCUCGAAGCUUCUGACCCGAAGGGAGAGCGCCGACCCGGAAGAGAAAUCCGACCGGAAACCGCUUCUCCGGCCACCGACCGACGACGCCCGACCACCGAUGUCUUCCUCUCGUCAUCGCCGUCACGAUUUUGGCCUCAGAUCAUCCAUGCAACAACGGUGAGCGGAGCAGCAACGACAGGAAGCCCCGAGCCUUCUCCGGCCAUCUCUGCAAUUUCCGGCCACCAUUCAAGGCGCAUUCGCUUUUCUUGGUUCAUUCUGGCUUCGCUGCUCCUGUUGACGAAGGCUGACCACGAUUUGGAACUGGGUUCGGGAACUCGCUGGGUUGUGGGCAUCGAAUCAGCAGUUUAUCAUCGACUUUGUCCUGGAGAACCGAGUUUGAGCACCCAGGCAACAGUUUUCGAAUCAAAGCUUUCAAAGGUAUAAUACAGAACCUCGAAUCAAAGUUCUGUUCUCUGAAAAUUGUUGGAAUUUGAGUGUAUGUGAAACUGAAAGCUUUUCGAUUUGGUGUUGUUGAAUCCGCUAGUUA